rnacentral:rRNA from 1 species
UGUAGCCUACGGGACGCAGCGGUGGGGAAUAUUGCACAAUGGGCGAAAGCCUGAUGCAGCAACGCCGCGUGAAGGAAGAAGGCCUUCGGGUCGUAAACUUCUGUCCUUGGGGAAGAAGAACUGACGGUACCCAAGGAGGAAGCCCCGGCUAACUACGUGCCAGCAGCCGCGGUAAUACGUAGGGGGCAAGCGUUAUCCGGAAUUAUUGUGCGUAAAGAGUACGUAGGUGGCAACCUAAGCGCAGGGUUUAAGGCAAUGGCUCAACCAUGGUUCGCCCUGCGAACUGGGAUGCUUGAGU